rnacentral:rRNA from 1 species
AUUGAACGCUGGCGGCAGGCCUAACACAUGCAAUUCGAACGAGUGGCGGACGGGUGAGUCAUGUCUGGGAAACUGCCCGAUGGAGGGGGAUAACUACUGGAAACGGUAGCUAAUACCGCAUACCAUCGGAUGUGCCCAGAUGGGCUUAGCUGGUAGGUGGGGUAACGGCUCACCUAGGCGACGAUCCCUAGCUGGUCCGAGAGGCUGACCAGCCACAAUGGAACGGAGACACGGUCCAGACGCCUACGUGAGGCAGCAGUGGGGAAUAUUGCACAAUGGGCGCAAGCCGGAUGCAGCCAUGCCGCGUGUAUGAAGAAGGCCUUCGGGUUGUAAAGUACUUUCAGCGAGGAGGCGUUACUCGCAGAAGAAGCACCGGCUAACUCCGUGCCAGCAGCCGCGGUAAUUC